UACAUCCAUAAUGAUUCACUCUCUUGUUCUGCUUUCCAUCUCCACUCACCUGUUACAUGCACAAUGCCAUGAAAAGCAAAGCAUAUCAGCAUCAGAGGGAAAUGGGUUAGAUGCCCAUCUCCAGUAAGUUUUGUAACAAACAAUGAAUAUAACCAUUCUCAAACAGUCAAAAAAGUUAGCUAAAAAAAAAAAGGCAACCCCAUCCCUUCCCCUUUUUAUUUUUUUGGUUUCACCCAUUUCACCACUCUAAUCAUUGUUCAGGCACAAGCAAAAGAAAACAAGUGGGUGGAGGGCAUGACCAUGAUUAGCACCUGCUUCUAAUAUCCAACCAUCUUUCCCCAACCUGAAAACCCAAUACAACCCCACCUCCGAAAAUAAGGCCAUCUCCAUCCACGUUCUUAGGUGCAAAGCAUAACAGCAUAAUCAUUUGGAGAUAACCCGCAUAUGCCAAUUUAACGUUAUAAAGAUUCUGUAGAUUGAUUUCAUUUGUUUGAUCUGGGUGGAAUAAUCCAAUCCAUUGUAUACGAAGCUGCAAGAGACUGCUCAUAGGAUCAAGAAGAGGAAAACCAUAUAUAGAUAAAGAGAGUUUUACCUUGUUGACCGUACUCCUGGCGGCCACGGCGCAGAAUAGGUGCACAGCUCUAGUGUGCUCUUGCUAUGUACCUUCGAGGAACUAUAGCAACAAAGGGGAGGAAAACAACAGAAGCAACAAUAACAAGAAGCAAAUUCUUGAAGAAAAGAAAGAUGGGGUCAUGGAAGAAGUCCCUAAUAAUCAUGAAUCACAAGGACAAGAAAGGGGCAAUGGUGGGAGUAACAGUGGAAGCGGUGGGUCUAAUGGGCCUCACAUUGAACCCCCUACUCUCAAGAGUAACCUCAAGAGAACUACAACAGUGGAGGAAAUUAAUCAAUCAAGAACAGAAAAGAGGAAAGUGAGUUGGCCUGAUGCUCAUGGCAAUGAUAUUGCUCAUGUUCACGAGUUUGAGCCAAGCUUGUCCGAAGACGGGGAACUUGAAGGAGUAAGAAACACUUGUAUUUGUACAAUUCAAUGAAGCAAGAACUCAUCCAGGGUGGAUAACAUUUGACAGUAUUCACAUUCUAGCCUCCUGCUGCAAUCAGACUGAAGCCAUUCAAUUUAGCAAGCUCUAGCACAUUGAAAACAGAAAAAUGUGCAGAAGAAAAUCAAAAUGUAAAGAAGUCACUAAAAUGAAAUCGAUUCCACUGGUUUGCAAGUAGUAGCGUCUUUAUUAUUUCUUUCUUUCUUUUUCGUUCUCUACAAUAAACUCUAGAAAUUUAGUUUAAAAAAGGAGCUCGUGGGACGUUUGAGACAAACUUCUUUUAACUACUCACCAGGUACAGAGAUGAUGAAGCUCCAAAUAACUACUCACCAGUCCUUAAUGUGGGAGUUCAAAGAUCUAUGCUAUGAGCCAAAAACUUAUAAAAGUUCAUUUCAUUUUAUUACAUUGUAAACUGUAGAAUCAACUUUCAUGUUGAAA